rnacentral:rRNA from 1 species
UACAGAGGUCUCAAGCGUUGUUCGGACUCAUUGGGCGUAAAGGGUGCGUAGGCGGCGCGGUAAGUCGGGUGUGAAAUCUCGGGGCUUAACUCCGAAACUGCAUUCGAUACUGCCGUGCUUGAGGACUGGAGAGGAGACUGGAAUUUACGGUGUAGCGGUGAAAUGCGUAGAUAUCGUAAGGAAGACCAGUGGCGAAGGCGGGUCUCUGGACAGUUCCUGACGCUGAGGCACGAAGGCCAGGGGAGCAAACGGG